AGUGUGAAGGCAUAGAGCCUUCACUUUUGUACACCGUAAGGUGGUGCACGAAUAAGGACUGGGCAAGACCGGUGCCAGCCGCCGCGGUAAUACCGGCAGUCCGAGUGAUGGCCGAUCUUAUUGGGCCUAAAGCGUCCGUAGCUGGCUGAACAAGUCCGUUGGGAAACCUGUCCGCUUAACGGGCAGGCGUCCAGCGGAAACUGUUCAGCUUGGGACCGGAAGACCUGAGGGGUACGUCUGGGGUAGGAGUGAAAUCCUGUAAUCCUGGACGGACCGCCGGUGGCGAAAGCGCCUCAGGAGAACGGAUCCGACAGUGAGGGACGAAAGCUAGGGUCUCGAACCGGAUUAGAUACCCGGGUAGUCCUAGCUGUAAACGAUGUCCGCUAGGUGUGGCGCAGGCUACGAGCCUGCGCUGUGCCGUAGGGAAGCCGAGAAGCGGACCGCCUGGGAAGUACGUCUGCAAGGAUGAAACUUAAAGGAAUUGGCGGGGGAGCACUACAACCGGAGGAGCCUGCGGUUUAAUUGGACUCAACGCCGGACAUCUCACCAGCCCCGACAGUAGUAAUGACGGUCAGGUUGAUGACCUUACCCGAGGCUAUUGAGAGGAGGUGCAUGGCCGCCGUCAGCUCGUACCGUGAGGCGUCCUGUUAAGUCAGGCAACGAGCGAGACCCGCACUCNUAAUUGCCAGCAGUACCCUUUGGGUAGCUGGGUACAUUAGGUGGACUGCCGCUGCCAAAGCGGAGGAAGGAACGGGCAACGGUAGGUCAGUAUGCCCCGAAUGGGCUGGGCAACACGCGGGCUACAAUGGUCGAGACAAUGGGAAGCCACUCCG
rnacentral:rRNA from 1 species